UCCUGGCUCAGGACGAACGCUGGCGGCGUGCUUAACACAUGCAAGUCGAACGGAGAUUCAGCAAUGGAUCUUAGUGGCGAACGGGUGAGUAACGCGUAGGCAAUCUGCCUUCUAGAUGGGGACAACAUCCCGAAAGGGGUGCUAAUACCGAAUGUUGUAUGAUCUUCGCAUGGAGAUGAUACUAAAGGUGGCCUCUGAGUAUGCUACCGCUAGAAGAUGAGCCUGCGUCUGAUUAGCUAGUUGGAGGGGUAACGGCCCACCAAGGCUUCGAUCGGUAGCCGGUCUGAGAGGAUGAACGGCCACACUGGGACUGAGACACGGCCCAGACUCCUACGGGAGGCAGCAGUGGGGAAUCUUCCGCAAUGGACGAAAGUCUGACGGAGCAACGCCGCGUGAGUGAAGAAGGUUUUCGGAUCGUAAAGCUCUUUCGUUAGGGACGAACGUGCUCUUUGUGAAUAAUGAGGAGUAAUGACGGUACCUAAAUAAGAAGCCACGGCUAACUGCGUGCCAGCAGCCGCGGUAAUACGUAGGUGGCAAGCGUUGUCCGGAAUUAUUGGGCGUAAAGCGCGCGCAGGCGGGAUAUCAAGUCUGUCUUAAAAGUGCGAGGCUCAACCUCGUGAGGGGACAGAAACUGGUAUUCUUGAGUGUCGGAGAGGAAAGUGGAAUUCCAAGUGUAGCGGUGAAA
rnacentral:rRNA from 1 species